rnacentral:lncRNA from 1 species
GAUUAUCAGCGGGAGAUGUGGAUGCGUGUUUCUGGGUCUGGAGCCUAAGUUUACUUCUAGCUCUUGUCUGAACCAUGAAGAGUGAAGAAACAGCAGAUGUUUUGUAAGAAGUUCCUACCAUUUCUACUGAAUUUUACAAUUUCGAUACCUCUGGAAGAUUCAGGCAAAAAAAAAUGAAAUCAUGGACAAAAUUGAAGGUAAAGUUAUAAUUUCCUGUUUAUUUUAAGAUAAUGACAUGGUGGUGACUGAACUGUUUUCUUA